rfam:TPA: Bos taurus chromosome 7, whole genome shotgun sequence.
UCCCUGGUGGCUCAGAUGGUAAAGUGACUGCCUGCAAUGCAGCAGACCUGGGUUUGAUCCCUAGGUUGGGAA